UUUCUAGUGACAUAAUACUAGAUACGCCCUGCCCCACGUAAUUAAGUGGCCGCGGUACAAUAACCGUGCUAAGGUAGCAUAAUCAAUUGUUUAUUAAUUGUAAAAUUGAAUGAAAGGGUAAACAAAAUAAAGACUGUCUCUUAUAAACUAACAAAAAUUAUCCUUCUAAUGAAGAGAUUAGAAUAUAAUUAAAGGACAAGAAGACCCUAUAGAGCUUUCAUAUAACCUUAACAAAUAAGCUAAAGUUUGGUUGGGGCGACCUAAGAUAAAUACUAACAUCUUUAUAUAAAUAAGAGAUUCUUCUCAUAACAAUGAUCCUAAUAAGAUCAGUGAACAAAGUUACCUUAGGGAUAACAGGCUAAUUAUUUUUAAGAGUUCUUAUCUAAAAAAUAGAUUGGCACCUCGAUGUUGGCUUAGGAACACUAUUAUUCGCAAAAGAAUAUAUAGUUGGUUUGUUCAACCAUUAAAAUCCU
rnacentral:rRNA from 1 species